rnacentral:tRNA from 1 species
GCCCCUGUAAUCUAUUCUUAAGGAUAGCAUACUUGUAAUAUGCCUGAGGCCCAUUGCCCGGGGGCA